rnacentral:rRNA from 1 species
GACGAACGCUGGCGGCGUGCCUAAUACAUGCAAGUAGGUCGCAGUUGCUACCGGGUGAGUCACGCGUAGGUAACUACCUAUUAGAGGGGGAUAACUAUUGGCAACGAUAGCUAAUACCGCAUACUAGUAGCUGGACCUGCGUUGUAUUGGCUAGUAGGUAGGGUAAUGGCCUACCUAGGCAACGAUACAUAGCCGACCUGAGGGGGAUCGGCGACAAUUGGACCGAGACACGACCCGGGCUCCUACGGGAGGCAGCAGUAGGGAAUCUUCGGCAAAUGGGGGAACCCUGACCGAGCAACGCCGCGGGAGUGAAGAAGGUUUUCGGAUCGUAAAGAUCUGUUGGUAAGGAAGCGGUACUGACCCAGAAAGGGACGGCUAACUACGUGCCAGCAGCCGCGGUAAUAC